GAUUAUGGCUCAGGAUGAACGCUAGCGAUAGGCUUAACACAUGCAAGUCGAGGGGCAGCACGGUGUAGCAAUACACUGGUGGCGACCGGCGUACGGGUGCGUAACACGUAUGCAACCUACCCGCUAUGGGGGAUAACCCGGCGAAAGUCGGACUAAUACCCCAUAUUAUUCUUACCGGGCAUCCGGUAGGUCUGAAAGAUUUAUCGAUUGCGGAUGGGCAUGCGGAUGAUUAGCUAGUAGGUGGGGUAACGGCUCACCUAGGCGACGAUCAUUAGGGGUUCUGAGAGGAAGGUCCCCCACACUGGAACUGAGACACGGUCCAGACUCCUACGGGAGGCAGCAGUGAGGAAUAUUGGUCAAUGGGCGCUAGCCUGAACCAGCCAAGUCGCGUGAAGGAUGACAGAAUCUAUGGUUUGUAAACUUCCUUUGCAGGGGAGUAAAGUGCGACACGUGUGUUGUAUUGCAAGUACCCUGCGAAUAAGCAUCGGCUAACUCCGUGCCAGCAGCAGC
rnacentral:rRNA from 1 species